AAUAAUAAUAAUGAUAAUAAUAAUAGCAGGAUUAAUAACAUCAUUCCAGGUUCAUCAUUCUUUUUUAUUGAUGAAAAAUGAAAACUAUAUGAAUGGUACACAAUAUAUGUCUGUAUGCAUGUAUAGAUAGAUAGAUACAUACAUGGAAUGGAGGUAUGUAUGUAUAUGUAUAAAUAGAUAGAGAGAAGAAGAAAGAAAAAGACAUAAUUACAUACAUUUGAAGUAUAUAAUUAUGUAUGCAGAGAGAGAGAGAGAGAGAGAGAGAGAGAGUAUGUAUAUAUGUAUGUAUGUAUUUAAGUACAGAAAAAGAAAUAUAAAAAUAAAUUCCUCAUAACUGAAUGUAUAUAUGUAUGUAUGAGUGUGUAUACAUAUCACAAGCAAAUAACACACCCACCAGAUAUCAUACAUAGUGGACUCCAAUGCCUGUUUUGACUAAGUAAUACAGCCACAUCAAUGAAUACAGCAAACAACCUUAUGGCACAAUAUACAGAUAUACUUAAAUAUACAUAGACACCACAGCGUCACGUAUAUGGAAGAAUGCAUACUGAUAAUGAUGAUAAAAGAAGUAAUAAUGAUAAUACUUGGGAAUACUAGCAUGGAAGCACCUAACAAUGUGUGUGUGUGUGCGUGUGUGUGUGUUUGAGUUUAUAAAGGUAGGAAGGCAUGUGUGUGUGUAUGUAUGUAUGUAUGUGGUGUGUGUGUGUGUGUGUGUGUGUGUGAGUUUAGAAAGGUAGGAAGGUAUGUGUGUGUAUGUAUGUAUGUAUGUCUGUAGUGUGUGUGUGUGUGUGUGUGUGUAUGGAAAAAUGCACAUCUAUUUAAAAUACAAACAUGAAAAUGGCAUUGGAAGAUUUAUAUAAUACUCUGAAGUUGUUUUGUUAUUAUUAUUAAUAUUAUUAGUAGUAGUAUUGUUAUUAUUAUUAUUAUUAUCUCUUUUGCAGUACUUAACAACAUUCAGAAAUCACAUUGGUUUACAUAAUUAAUCAACAGUAUAUUGGCAAUCAUUGUGUUCGUGUGUGUGUGUGUGUGUGUGUGGAGGAGCCAGUCAUGUAUACAAACUUCUUGUACAUAUAUAGAAAUACUUACAUGACUGAUUGGAGCACAACUUUGAAUAUAUAUGUGUGUGUGUGUGUGUGUGUGUGUG